rnacentral:rRNA from 1 species
AACGAGCGCUGGCGGCAUGCCUAACACAUGCAAGUCGAACGAAGUCUUCGGACUUAGUGGCGCACGGGUGCGUAACGCGUGGGAAUCUGCCCUUGGGUGCGGAAUAACUUCUCGAAAGGGAUGCUAAUACCGCAUAAUGUCGUAAGACCAAAGAUUUAUCGCCCAAGGAUGAGCCCGCGUAAGAUUAGCUAGUUGGUGGGGUAAAAGCCUACCAAGGCGACGAUCUUUAGCUGGUCUGAGAGGAUGAUCAGCCACACUGGGACUGAGACACGGCCCAGACUCCUACGGGAGGCAGCAGUGGGGAAUAUUGGACAAUGGGCGAAAGCCUGAUCCAGCAAUGCCGCGUGAGUGAUGAAGGCCCUAGGGUUGUAAAGCUCUUUUACCAGGGAUGAUAAUGACAGUACCUGGAGAAUAAGCUCCGGCUAACUCCGUGCCAGCAGCCGCGGUAAU